GGAGAGGUGGGCCUGUGUGAACCUCAUGAGGUUCAACAAGGCCAAGUGCAAGGUCCUGCACCUGGGUUGGGGCAACUCCCAGUACCAAUACAGGCUGGAGGACAAAGGCAUUGAGAGCAGCCCUGCUGAGAGAGACUUGGGGGUGCUGGUUGA